AUGAAGGCAAACUGUCAGGUGAAGCCAAAGUCAAUAAUCACAGACGGUGACGCUGCAAUGAUCCGGGCUAUUCGGAAUGUCCUUUCAGAUGUGUUCCAUCAUCUUUGCUCCUGGCAUAUCGAGAAAAAUAUGCAGAGGCACCUGCAUUACAAGUCACUGGAUGAGUUCAGAUCGCUCUUGUACUAUGCCACCUCUCAAGCGAACUUUGAGCAGAGAUGGACCGCUUUCUAUGAUAAGUGGAAGACGGAUAGAACUGAAGAGUGGCUUGACAAGAUGUACAGGAAGAGGAGACUUUGGGCAGCUUCAUAUCUUUCCGAUGGUUUUUUUCUUGGUAUGUGA
rnacentral:rRNA from 1 species